rnacentral:antisense_RNA from 1 species
CUUGACCGAUCCCAGCCACAGCGGGCUGUCGUCCGGGCGGUCCUGCCCGUAGGUGGCGAGGAGGGCCUGGGCCUC